UACGUAGGGGGCAAGCGUUGUCCGGAUUUACUGGGCGUAAAGCGUGCGUAGGUGGUUUGUUAAGUCUGAUGUGAAAGCCCUGGGCUCAACCUGGGAAUUGCAUUGGAUACUGGCAGGCUAGAGUGCGGUAGAGGAUGGCGGAAUUCCCGGUGUAGCAGUGAAAUGCGUAGAGAUCGGGAGGAACAUCUGUGGCGAAGGCGGCCAUCUGGACCAGCACUGACACUGAGGCACGAAAGCGUGGGGAGCAAACAGG
rnacentral:rRNA from 1 species